AUAACCCUUUUGUGACAUACCUAUAACUGUUGCUUACGGCGGGUAGGGUCUCCGCGACCCUCCCGGCCUCCCGCCUCCGGGCGGGUCGGCGCCCGCCGGAGGAUAACCAAACUCUGAUUUAACGACGUUUCUUCUGAGUGGUACAAGCAAAUAAUCAAAACUUUUAACAACGGAUCUCUUGGUUCUGGCAUCGAUGAAGAACGCAGCGAAAUGCGAUAAGUAAUGUGAAUUGCAGAAUUCAGUGAAUCAUCGAAUCUUUGAACGCACAUUGCGCCCGCCAGCAUUCUGGCGGGCAUGCCUGUUCGAGCGUCAUUUCAACCCUCAAGCUCUGCUUGGUGUUGGGGCCCUACAGCUGAUGUAGGCCCUCAAAGGUAGUGGCGGACCCUCCCGGAGCCUCCUUUGCGUAGUAACUUUACGUCUCGCACUGGGAUCCGGAGGGACUCUUGCCGUAAAACCCCCCAAUUUUCCAAAGGUUGACCUCGGAUCAGGUAGGAAUACCCGCUGAACUUAAGCAUAUCAAUA
rnacentral:rRNA from 1 species